rnacentral:tRNA from 1 species
UGGGAGAUCGUCUAAAGGCAGGACAACCGGCUCUGGACCGGUUAGUGGGGGUUCGAAUCCUCCUCUCCCAGCCA